UGGGGAAUUUUGGACAAUGGGGGCAACCCUGAUCCAGCAAUGCCGCGUGUGUGAAGAAGGCCUUCGGGUUGUAAAGCACUUUUGGCGGGAACGAAACAGCGCUUGCUAAUACCGAGCGCGAAUGACGGUACCCGCAGAAUAAGCACCGGCUAACUACGUGCCAGCAGCCGCGGUAAGACGUAGGGUGCAAGCGUUAAUCGGAAUUACUGGGCGUAAAGCGUGCGCAGGCGGUUCUGUAAGACAGGUGUGAAAUCCCCGGGCUUAACCUGGGAACUGCACUUGUGACUGCAGAGCUAGAGUGUGUCAGAGGGAGGUGGAAUUCCGCGUGUAGCAGUGAAAUGCGUAGAGAUGCGGAGGAACACCGAUGGCGAAGGCAGCCUCCUGGGAUAACACUGACGCUCAUGCACGAAAGCGUGGGGAGCAAACAGG
rnacentral:rRNA from 1 species